AAUUUCAUUACGGAAUCAACAUGUAUAACCCCGAUAAUAUGGUUCGGGGGUCUCUACCAGGAACCGUUAAAUCCUGAUUACAAAGUCAUUUUUGUAAUCG
rnacentral:ncRNA from 2 species